GCCUGGUUGGCUCAGCAGUGAGUAUCUGCCUUCAGCUCAGGACGUGAUCCCGAGGUCCUGGGAUCAAGUCCCACAUCAGGCU
rnacentral:tRNA from 1 species